AUCAUGAUAGGUUGGUGUACUAGA
rnacentral:siRNA from 1 species